rnacentral:lncRNA from 1 species
AAUAAAGACACGAAGCCCUUAAGUUCCACUCAUUUCCGUACAAUGUAGUAACUCAUGUGUUUGUUUUCAUAUAAAGUUUAGAGCAGAGUUUUCUAUGCAAAGUUUAGACAAGAGAAAUCAAGAGUUCUAAUGAAUGAAAUGUAGAAAAAUCUUACCUUCAUUCUUUCUCUCAAGUUCAUCACCACAUCCUACAGUACAAGCAGGACAGCAAAGAAUUGCCACUCUCCUAUCAUCACAUACAUCAUACAUCACUCAAGGUAAUAUGAUUAUUUAUGGCAAGAUUAGGUUCUUAAGAAAGUUUUAUAACUGUAAACGUUUUUAUAAUUUAUAAAUAUCCAGAAGAUAUCUGUUUAAGAAAUUUUAUAAAUUAUAAAUAUAUUUAUACUUGAUUAAUC